CAGGCCAACAGGCGGCUCCACGUGUUGACAGCACGGGGCAGAACCACCUGUUGCCAGCACCGCAACAGGGUCCCCGGCACCCAGUGUCCUGUCCAGGCUGCUGGCUUGUACGGCAAACCCGGCGCUGCCUGAAGCCUCCCUCUGGCCGCAGGAGCUGGACGUGCCUGGAGGUAGACGAUCCAGAGCACUGGACAAGGAGGAUGUAGUUGGAGGACAAGCGGCCGGCUUCCCCUCCUCCGGGGUGGGGUGUGGCGCAGCCCUGAGGCGUAUCUACAGUCUUCCCGAGGCCCCCAGUGCUGUAUGGGCUCCUGCCCAGCCCCAGCCCCCUCCUGGGGUGCCAGGGGUCACCUCCCACGCAAACUGUCCUGGAAUCUCAUCUCAGCAUCUGAACCUGAGAUCCACCCAAGUACGCCUCCUGCCCUCUCGCCUCACCACCCCCGGGUUGGCUUCUCAGCAGCCCCCUCACCCCUUGUCUCUUUCUGGGUCCCCAAAGCAUCCUUGUCCAGGGCAGAGGGAGGGCCUCCCUCUGAUGGUGGGGUUGCAGGCAGGGGGCAGGAAGGCAGCGCUGGAAAGGGGAUACCUCAGGAGGCGUGAGCAGGCUGGGCGCUCACUGCAUCGACCCAUCGAGUGUUGGAAACGUUGGCCAGCGCCCUAGAUUGCGGGUGCGCGGCCCCCCCAGGCCUGGGACAAUGGAGCCUGCCGGUUACAUAAAGCGCUCCUUACAUAACCAGCGUGAAGACACAUGAAAGCCGGGCAAGUCAAAACAACUGCGGCCGGGCGGGAAGGCUCUGUGGACAAACACCGGGGAGUGCUUUCACUUCGUACACUAGACUUCACAUGGGUGUUCACAGCCACACAGGUGGGGCAGAUUCCUCCCAGGAGAUGGUGGUGAUGGGAAUCGGAAGUCGCGUUGAACCUCCUCCGUAUCUCGCGCAGGACCCACAGCAAGCGCCCCAGAAAGCCAGCCGAUGGGAUCUCUCGGCAGCUGGCCUGUGCUGUCCGGCCGGGAGCUGGGAACAUUCUGAUCAUUUCUGAGUGAGUCCUUCAGUAGUCACGCCGUUGCUAGUUGCCAUCCCAAACGUAAGGACGGGAUGGAUGUGGGAUUCCCUGCCGUCAGAGUUUGCUAUCAGAACGUCCUCUGCCUGAGCUCAGGAGCCGAACAGAUUGAGAUGCAGGGGAUCCCGGCCUUCCGGAUGCACAUGGCGGCCUGUGACGGGGCCAGCACGCGUCGUCCCGAGACUCCACGGCAGCCCCUCUGUCCCGACUGCGGCCCAGGAUUAAAUCAGCACACCGUUAUCACUGCUUCAAGGGCAGUGCCCGCACAGGAGUAUGCAGACUUUGACUUGAAUUCUGGGUCUGGCAUUUAAUUCUCUAUGCAUCACUUUUCUCACCUGUAAAAUUACAAAAAUUAUAUCUAUUUCUUAGGGUUCUU